CGGGGUGUAGCGCAGCCUGGUAGCGCACCUGCCUUGGGCGCAGGGGGUCCCCGGUUCAAAUCCGGGCACCCCGA
rnacentral:tRNA from 1 species